GGCCCAUAAGGUAUCGUCCCCUGGUGUCAGCUGCCUUUAGGAAACCAUAAUGCUUUCCUAUUUGCUACUGACACAGGAUGAGUCAUGGACAUGUUUAAUUUCUACUUUCUUUUUGGCUAAUUAUUAUAUAUUUAAUUGAUCCAACUUUUUGUGUACUAUACAUAUGUGGAUAUCUAUUUUUCUUUUUUUUCUUUUUGGGCUGCUUGUUUGUUAUCUAUAUCAACCACACUUGUAAUAAAAUGCAUUAGUAUUAAAAAAAAACCAACAUACUAUAGAUUCUUUAUCUACGUAUUCUUUAAGAACUUAAAUAGUUCUCGUUUAACUUUUUUUUUUUUUUUUUAUCUCAUUGUUUGUAUUGUAUUAUGAAAAAAUUAUUGAUGUUGUAAUGUUUAUGCCCUUUGGGGCCCAUAAUUGGAAAUAAAAAUAUCUUAUCUUAUCUUAUCUUAUCUUAU
rnacentral:lncRNA from 1 species